rnacentral:rRNA from 1 species
UUUUACAAUGAAGAGUUUGAUCCUGGCUCAGGAUGAACGCUAGCGACAGGCUUAACACAUGCAAGUCGAGGGGCAGCAUAAGGUAGCAAUACCUUGAUGGCGACCGGCGCACGGGUGAGUAACACGUGUGCAACCAACCCCGUACCGGGAGAUAACCCGCGGAAACGUGGACUAACACCCCAUGGAACUUCAAGAUCGCAUGGUCUUGAUUUUAAAAGUUAAUGGUACGGGACGGGCACGCGCGACAUUAGGUAGUUGGCGGGGUAACGGCCCACCAAGCCGACGAUGUCUAGGGGUUCCGAGAGGAAGGUCCCCCACACUGGAACUGAGACACGGU